ensembl:lncRNA
GACAGGUGCAUUAUGGGGCUGGGGACAGGUGCAUUAUGGGGCGGGGGACAGGUGCAUUAUGGGGCGGGGGACAGGUUCCUCUGGGAGGCAACUGGCUGCUGUGAUCUUUAUACUGGAGCAGUUCUGAGGGUGUGGAUACGAAGUAGUACUUACUACCAGAGAGUAGUACUUAUAUUACCGAGUACUAAGUAUCCUUCUUCCGGUCAGAGCCUCUCUGUCGGGGAUCUGUAGCAUUUUAGUCAGUUCAAAUAUUUUUUUCUUUCUUGAUUGAAUUUAAAAUGAAAACUUAAAUAACUUACUUCUGACUUAACUAAAGAUGAUGAAUCAAAGAUCCUGAAAGCAAUU